UACAGAGAGUGCAAGCGGUAAUCGGAAUUACUGGGCGUAAAGCGCACGUAGGUGGAAUUUUAAGUCGGAUGUGAAAUCCCCGAGCUUAACUUGGGAAUUGCAUUCGAUACUGACUUUCUUGAAUAUGGUAGAGGGAAGUGGAAUUUCUGGUGUAGCGGUGAAAUGCGUAGAUAUCAGAAGGAACAUCAGUGGCGAAAGCGGCUUCCUGGACCAAUAUUGACACUUAGGUGCGAAAGCGUGGGGAGCAAACAGG
rnacentral:rRNA from 1 species